AUUGAACGCUGGCGGCAUGCUUUACACAUGCAAGUCGAACGGCAGCGCGGGCUUCGGCCUGGCGGCGAGUGGCGAACGGGUGAGUAAUACAUCGGAACGUGCCCAGUAGUGGGGGAUAGCUCGGCGAAAGCCGGAUUAAUACCGCAUACGACCUGAGGGUGAAAGCGGGGGAUCUUCGGACCUCGCGCUAUUGGAGCGGCCGAUGGCAGAUUAGCUAGUUGGUGGGGUAAAGGCCUACCAAGGCGACGAUCUGUAGCUGGUCUGAGAGGACGACCAGCCACACGGGGACUGAGACACGGCCCAGACUCCUACGGGAGGCAGCAGGGGGGAAUUUUGGACAAUGGGCGAAAGCCUGAUCCAGCAAUGCCGCGGGUGUGAUGAAGGCCUUCGGGUUGUAAAGCACUUUUGGCGGGAACGAAAAGGACUGUGCCAAUACCACGGUUCGAUGACGGUACCCGCAGAAUAAGCACCGGCGAACUACGU
rnacentral:rRNA from 1 species